CUUGGCUGGACUUCUUCCCUGUUCUUAAGUCUCACCUUUUUUCCCAUGAAGACCAGUCACUCUUAAUAGCCCUUGUCUUCUCCUCUGGCCUCCUCUGCCUGUUGUUAUUAGUUUGUUUUUUUAACUGAGGUAUAAUUUACAUUCCAUAAAAGGUGUAGCUUGUAAGUGCACAGUUGGUGAGUUUUGACCAUGGCAUGCACCAGACACCAUAUCCUACUGAGAAAAUGACGUCUUAGACUUGAAAUAAACUGUUUUGGUUCCUCAGGCAGAGCAAAGAAGCCUACCUAGCCUCUCCUGCUUUUCAAGGCAAAAGGAUUCUGUGACAUCAAUGACGUGUCACUCAAUGAGAAGCAAAUCUCUGUUAUGGGCCCACCUACUUUAGCAAUAGUGGUAUGGACAAUUCAUAAGGGACCACAAGGCAGAAGACCGCUGGGAUUCUGAUCAGUUGCUCAGACCACAAGAUGCUCUGUGGCUCAGCUGGGGAAGGAGUUGCCCAGGAGUCUUGGCAGCUAGACUUAGAAAAGCACCGAAUCAGAGCUUCUGGCAAUGCUGUUCAAUUUCUUCAGUGGGUCAUGACCUUGGAAACAGGAAAGUCAGCUGAAACACAGUGACUGGUCACUGAUCCACUGAGAUUCUGGAAGUGCUGGACUUGCUAAUCUCAGGCAGCCAUGCCCUGCUGUCACCUGCCAUGACCUGCCAAGCCUAUUGUGGAAAGAUUGUAGAUACCGACCCAGCUCUGAGAACUACCAACACUAGUG